GAUGAAGAACGCAGCGAAAUGCGAUAAGUAAUGUGAAUUGCAGAAUUCAGUGAAUCAUCGAAUCUUUGAACGCACAUUGCGCCCCCUGGUAUUCCGGCGGGCAUGCCUGUCCGAGCGUCAUUGCUGCCCUCAAGCACGGCUUGUGUGUUGGGCCUCCGUCCUCCUCCCGGGGGACGGGCCCGAAAGGCAGCGGCGGCACCGCGUCCGGUCCUCGAGCGUAUGGGGCUUCGUCACCCGCUCUUGUAGGCCCGGCCGGCGCUUGCCGACACAUCAAUCUUUUUUCCAGGUUGACCUCGGAUCAGGUAGGGAUACCCGCUGAACUUAAGCAUAUCAAUAAGCGGAGGA
rnacentral:misc_RNA from 1 species